UUUCCGUAGGUGAACCUGCGGAAGGAUCAUUACCGAGUGAGGGUCCUGUCGGGCCCGACCUCCCAACCCUAUGUUUAUUGAACCUCUGUUGCUUCGGCGGACCCGCCUCACGGCCGCCGGAGGACCGCCACAGGUCCUCUGGCCAGCGUCCGCCGACGGCCAACCUUUAAAACUCUGUAUGAAUCGUGUCACGAUGUCUAAGUACAAUUAUUAAAUUAAAAGCAAAACUUUCAACAACGGAUCUCUUGGUUCUGGCAUCGAUGAAGAACGCAGC
rnacentral:misc_RNA from 1 species